UUUGACCUCAAAUCAGGUAGGACUACCCGCUGAACUUAAGCAUAUCAAUAAGCGGAGGAAAAGAAACUAACAAGGAUUCCCCUAGUAACUGCGAGUGAAGCGGGAAAAGCUCAAAUUUAAAAUCUGGCAGUCUUCGA
rnacentral:rRNA from 1 species